UGUGGGAGCGGGCUUGCUCGCGAAAGCGGAUUGUCAGUUAACAAAUGUUUAGCUGACCCACCGCAUUCGCGAGCAAGCCCGCUCCCACA
rnacentral:misc_RNA from 1 species